GUCCACGCCCUAAACGAUGUCAACUAGGUGUUGGGGAGCAAUCUCUUGGUACCGCAGCUAACGCGUGAAGUUGACCGCCUGGGGAGUACGGUCGCAAGAUUAAAACUCAAAGGAAUUGACGGGGACCCGCACAAGCUGUGGAUGAUGUGGAUUAAUUCGAUGCAACGCGAACAACCUUACCUACCCUUGACAUGUCCGGAAUCCUGCUGAAAGGCGGGAGUGCCCCGAAAGGGAACUGGAACACAGGUGCUGCAUGGCUGUCGU
rnacentral:rRNA from 1 species